UACGUAGGGUGCGAGCGUUGUCCGGAAUUAUUGGGCGUAAAGAGCUCGUAGGCGGUGUGUCACGUCGAUCGUGAAAACUUACAGCUUAACUGUGAGCGUGCGGUCGAUACGGGCAUCACUGGAGUUCGGCAGGGGAGACUGGAAUUCCUGGUGUAGCGGUGAAAUGCGCAGAUAUCAGGAGGAACACCGGUGGCGAAGGCGGGUCUCUGGGCCGGUACUGACGCUGAGGCGCGAAAGCGUGGGGAGCGAACAGG
rnacentral:rRNA from 1 species